GCGGACCUGUGCGUUAAUUGAAAUGAAGUGAGUGUUCUAUUGUUUAUAAAAGUAGAUUAACAGUUUUAGUAAAGUGAUUCGGAAAGUUUACUGAGGAGUCGAAUCCCUGUGCAAUAGAUUUGUUUAUAUUAUCGUAAGAUUACAUAUUUCACUGGCUUUCCUGAUUGGUGCCUGUUACGCUGACAAUGGUGUGUGCAGCAUGUCAAACGGUUCAAUAGGGAAAUGUGUAAAACCAGGACAAUGUAAGGCACCUGAUGUUGGUAACUUGAAUGUUUACGGGACAAUACAAUUGGUGUGCCAAACGGGAGAACAAUGCUGUGAUUUUAGAGAUAUAAUCCAAUCUUCUGAUUCACCCAUUACCAUUAAUAAUUAUAUAAGAACAUCAAAUACUAAUUUGAAAAUAAAUUAUAAUGAUUUCAUUUAUAAAAACAAUUUUCAAGAAAUAAAUACCAAGCUUUUGUAGCGACACAUACAAUCUGCGGUUAUAAAAUUUCCGAUUAAAGAUAUACCUAGUCCUAGUUAA